AUUGAACGCUGGCGGCAUGCUUUACACAUGCAAGUCGAGCGGCAGCGCGGGGGCAACCCUGGCGGCGAGCGGCGGACGGGUGAGUAAUGCAUCGGAACGUAUCCCGUAGUGGGGGACAACCCAGCGAAAGCUGGGCUAAUACCGCAUAUGCUCUACGGAGGAAAGCAGGGGACUCGCAAGAGCCUUGUGCUAUGGGAGCGGCCGAUGUCCGAUUAGCUAGUUGGUGGGGUAAAGGCUUACCAAGGCGACGAUCGGUAGCUGGUCUGAGAGGAUGAUCAGCCACACUGGGACUGAGACACGGCCCAGACUCCUACGGGAGGCAGCAGUGGGGAAUUUUGGACAAUGGGGGCAACCCUGAUCCAGCCAUGCCGCGUGCGGGAAGAAGGCCUUCGGGUUGU
rnacentral:rRNA from 1 species